rnacentral:rRNA from 1 species
GACGAACGCUGGCGGCGUGCUUAACACAUGCAAGUCGAACGGUGAAGCGCCUUCCUUUUUGGUGGGUGUGGAUGAGUGGCGAACGGGUGAGUAACACGUGAGUAACCUGCCCCCUUCUUCUGGAUAACCGCAUGAAAGUGUGGCUAAUACGGGAUAUUCUGGGUCUGUCGCAUGAUGGGUCUGGGAAAGAUAUUGUUUCGGUGGGAGAUGGGCUCGCGGCCUAUCAGCUUGUUGGUGGGGUGAUGGCCUACCAAGGCGGUGACGGGUAGCCGGCCUGAGAGGGUGGACGGUCACACUGGGACUGAGACACGGCCCAGACUCCUACGGGAGGCAGCAGUGGGGAAUAUUGCACAAUGGGCGCAAGCCUGAUGCAGCGACGCCGCGUGAGGGAUGGAGGCCUGCGGGUUGUGAACCUCUUUCGCCAGUGAAGCAGGCCUGCCUCGUUUGUGGGUGGGUUGACGGUAGCUGGAUAAGAAGCGCCGGCUAACUACGUG